AGUCCCACCCACACAACCUGGCGGGUGACAAUACUUACAGUGAACGCGAUCGGCCUCGGUCAUAGAUCGAGUGGCGAACGGGUGCGUAACACGUGAGAAACCUGCCCUGGAGUACGGAAUAACCACGGGAAACUGUGGCUAAUACCGAAUACCUUCACCGGUCCGCAUGGUCUGGUGAAGAAAGCUUUUGAGCUCUGGGAGGGUCUCGCGGCCUAUCAGCUUGUUGGUGAGGUAACGGAUCACCAAGGCCACGACGGGUAGCUGGUCUGAGAGGACGAUCAGACACACUGGGACUGAGACACGGCCCAGACUUCUACGGGAGGCAGCAGUAAGGAAUCUUGCGCAAUGGGCGAAAGCCUGAAGCAGCAACGCCGAAGUGGGGGAUGACGGCUUUAGGGUUGUAAAACCCCUUUCAGCAGGGACGAAACUGACGGUACCUGCAAAAGAAGCCCCCAGAGCCAACUACGAUGACAGCAACCGCGGUAACACAGUAAAGGAGCAAGCGAUGCCCGGACUUAUUGAGGCGUAAAGAGCAUCGAAGGUGGUACACAAAGUCAGGUGAGAAAUGCGAGAGAGUCAAACCACGGACCGGACCCGAUACAGAUGUAACAGAA
rnacentral:rRNA from 1 species